UACAGAGGUCCCAAGCGUUGUUCGGAUUCACUGGGCGUAAAGGGUGCGUAGGCGGUCUGGUAAGUCUGACGUGAAAUCUCCAAGCUCAACUUGGAAAUGGCGUCGGAUACUAUUCGGCUCGAGGAAUGGAGGGGAGACUGGAAUUCUCGGUGUAGCAGUGAAAUGCGUAGAGAUCAGGAGGAAGACCAGUGGCGAAGGCGGGUCUCUGGGCCGAUACUGACGCUGAGGAGCGAAAGCGUGGGGAGCGAACAGG
rnacentral:rRNA from 1 species